rnacentral:rRNA from 1 species
ACGAGAAAGCGGGAGCAAUCCUGCAAGUACAGUGGCGUACGGGUGAGUAACACGUGGAUUAUCUGCCCUGGAGUGGGGAAUAACGCUGGGAAACCGGCGCUAAUACCGCAUAUUCCCGAGAGGGGAAAGCAGCAAUGCGCUCGAGGAGGAGUCCGCGGCUGAUUAGCUAGUUGGUAGGGUAACGGCCUACCAAGGCUAUGAUCGGUAGCCGGCCUGAGAGGGCACACGGCCACACUGGCACUGAAACACGGGCCAGACUCCUACGGGAGGCAGCAGUGGGGAAUCUUGCACAAUGGGGGCAACCCUGAUGCAGCGACGCCGCGUGAGCGAUGAAGCCCUUCGGGGUGUAAAGCUCUUUCGGCAGGGAAGAUAAUGACGGUACCUGCAGAAGCAGCUGCGGCUAACUACGUGCCAGCAGCCGCGGUAAUACGUAGGCAGCAAGCGUUGUUCGGAGUUACUGGGCGUAAAGGGUGUGUAGGCGGCCUUCUAAGUUUGGUGUGAAAUCUCCCGGCUCAACCGGGAGGGUGCGCCGAAGACUGGGGGGCUAGAGUGCGGGAUGGGAGAGUAGAAUUCCUGGUGUAGCGGUGAAAUGCGUAGAUAUCAGGAGGAAUACCUGUGGGUGUAGACGGCUCUCUGGACCGCAACUGACGCUGAGACACGAAAGCGUGGGUAGCAAACAGGAUUAGAUACCCUGGUAGUCCACGCCCUAAACGAUGCAUAUUUUGGUGUAGGUCAUUCAGUUGAUCUGUGCCGGAGCUAACGCGUUAAAUAUGCCGCCUGGGGAGUACAGUCGCAAGGCUG